rnacentral:rRNA from 1 species
UACGUAGGGGGCAAGCGUUGUCCGGAUUUAUUGGGCGUAAAGAGCGUGUAGGCGGUUUGGUAGGUCCGCUGUGAAAACUCGAGGCUCAACCUCGAGACGCCGGUGGAAACCAUCAGACUAGAGUCCGGAAGAGGAGAGUGGAAUUCCUGGUGUAGCGGUGAAAUGCGCAGACAUCAGGAAGAACACCCGUGGCUAAGGCGGCUCUCUAGUACGGUACUGACGCUGAGACGCGAAAGCGUGGGGAGCGAACAGG